rnacentral:rRNA from 1 species
CGCUGGCGGCGUGCUUAACACAUGCAAGUCGAACGGGGAUAUCGUUGGAAGUCCUUCGGGGUGGAAGAUGAUAUUCGAGUGGCGGACGGGUGAGUAACGCGUGAACAAUCUGUCCCAGACAGGGGGAUAACACUUGGAAACAGGUGCUAAUACCGCGUGAGACCACGGGGUCGCAUGGCCUUGAGGUAAAAGGAGGAAUCCGGUUUGGGGUGAGUUCGCGUCCGAUUAGCCAGUUGGUGAGGUAACGGCCCACCAAAGCGACGAUCGGUAGCCGAUCUGAGAGGAUGACCGGCCACAUUGGAACUGAGAGACGGUCCAAACUCCUACGGGAGGCAGCAGUGGGGAAUAUUGGGCAAUGGGCGAAAGCCCUGACCCAGCAACGCCGCGUGAGUGAAGAAGGCCUUCGGGUUGUAAAGCUCUGUUAUAGGGGACGAAGGAAGUGACGGUACCCUAUAAGGAAGCCCCGGCUAACUACGUGCCAGCAGCAGC